rnacentral:miRNA from 1 species
UCUUAGCUUGGCAAUAAAAUAU